rnacentral:rRNA from 1 species
UGGGGAAUUUUGGACAAUGGGCGAAAGCCUGAUCCAGCAAUGCCGCGUGUGUGAAGAAGGCCUUCGGGUUGUAAAGCACUUUUGUCCGGAAAGAAAUCCUUGGCUCUAAUACAGUCGGGGGAUGACGGUACCGGAAGAAUAAGCACCGGCUAACUACGUGCCAGCAGCCGCGGUAAUACGUAGGGUGCAAGCGUUAAUCGGAAUUACUGGGCGUAAAGCGUGCGCAGGCGGUUUGCUAAGACCGAUGUGAAAUCCCCGGGCUCAACCUGGGAACUGCAUUGGUGACUGGCAGGCUAGAGUAUGGCAGAGGGGGGUAGAAUUCCACGUGUAGCAGUGAAAUGCGUAGAGAUGUGGAGGAAUACCGAUGGCGAAGGCAGCCCCCUGGGCCAAAUACUGACGCUCAUGCACGAAAAGCGUGGGGAGCAAAACAGGAUUAGAUACCCUGGUAGUCCACGCCCUAAACGAUGUCAACUAGUUGUUGGGGAUUCAUUUCCUUAGUAACGUAGCUAACGCGUGAAGUUGACCGCCUGGGGAGUACGGUCGCAAGAUUAAAACUCAAAGGAAUUGACGGGGUCAUAGCUGUUUCCU